GACAUCACUGGGGUGGUUAGAAAAAAAAGCGGAAGUAGGAAAACAGACACAAUUUCUUUAAAAUUUGUGCCCUUGCACUUCGUAAAACAUUUUAAUAUGGUAUUUUAUGGUAUUAUAGAGCAUUUUCACAAACAAUUCUACUUUUUUAAACUGUUUUUUAACCUACAAUAUGCUCUUUAACGGCAGAAAAGCCAAUUUGUACUCCGUGAAGAUCCAAACGGAACAACCGUAAAAAGAAAAGAGAAACAGCGAGAUAGAGGAGAGGGACAUGGCAGGGACUUCCAUUUGUGCCAGCAGGUGGGGACAGAUCGAAGGAACGAUUCAAGGGCGUGGAAGACGAGAGGGUAUCCGGUCACACAUUGAUACCAAGCCUAAAUAGGUGAGUAUAUAUGCAUCAGCCCUCACUGCGUGUCUGACGGUGGACUACUGGAGUUCAUCACAGGCUCGACGAGAAUGCAGAACUUUGCAAUACAUUUGCUCUCCUUUCUAGAUCCUUCCAGCGGGUUUACAAGGAUGAGGCUGUCGGCAUCUUUUUACACAGCAUUUACAAUUUAAUACACAUUAAAGACGUGAUGGUGUGGUACCCACAUAAACAUUGGCCAACUUACUGAAAAAUAAUUUUAGGUUUACUUUUAAAUAGGUCAGAUGAUAUAUUUUCCUUUCAGUAUACACACACUCACACAGAUACUUAUACAUAUAUAAAGAGUAAAAAUGCUGGUAUUAACACUGCUUUUGAUUUUGUGCUAUAUAAAUAAAACUUGAACUUGAGUUGCAUUUAGAAUCUGAACUUGAAUUAGGGUUGAAGUUUAUUUAAUCAGAAAUGCAGAUCAGAUCUGUUGAUCAAAUCUUUGUAAAUAUUUUAUACUGUAACAACUAUACUUGUUUUUUUAUGGAUUGUUGCCUAAAUGGGAUCUGAUACAGAUAAUCUUAUACCCAAUGAAAAAAUGACAAAAAGACAUAUUUAAAAACUUAUUUUAAUUGUUUUAAUAUUUGAUGUUGUUUUUAUUUUAAUACAGAAGCUCUGAAAACCUUUUGUAAAAUAAAAAAGAUUUUCCAGUACCUUGUUUACAUGUUUCUGCAUUAUUCCAGACGUUCUGUGUUAUUUGUGUUUUGUAUUCACUUAUCUACUAUUAAAAAUAGGGUCAAUGU